UGAGAAUCGUGCUUCGGCGUGUCAGGAAUUUGAAUUUAGAGUUUAAUUUCCUAUAACAUUCUCUACAAGAAGAAUCUUGGCAGUAUCUUAAAGACAUCACUGACUUCUGGAUCCUGUAUAAAGCCCAAGGAGAAAAGAAAUGGGCCGCUCCAAUUCUAGAUCACAUUCUUCAAGAUCCAAGUCUAGAUCACAGUCUAGUUCUAGAUCAAGAUCAAGAUCACAUUCUAGAAAGAAGAGAUACAGGUGAAUUAAUGUGUUUCUGGUGCUUUUAGUAGUGCCAUAGUUAUCAUUAGUGUCUGCUGUGAACAGAGUGUAUAGCGUAUUGUUCUCUCCAUCA
rnacentral:lncRNA from 1 species